rnacentral:rRNA from 1 species
AUGCUUGACUCACCGCAAAACAUUUCGCUUUCUGCGCACGCUCAUACAUGGUUAACACUCCUAGCCUUUCAUCUGACUUUGCCAUCGGGCAAUUGUUUGUUUUCAACUGGAUUGGAUUCCGAACCAAGAAAGAUAGGCAACUUUCACUUGAAAGAAAGGAGCUUCAGAACUCUUGUAUUCCACCGAAUAAGAAUAAGAAUCAGAGAUGUUACAUUGCUUCAGUAA